UACAGAGGGUGCGAGCGUUAAUCGGAAUUACUGGGCGUAAAGGGCGCGUAGGCGGUCGUGACAAGUCACUUGUGAAAUCUCCGGGCUUAACUCGGAACGGUCAAGUGAUACUGUCGGACUAGAGUACAGAAGGGGCAACUGGAAUUCCUGGUGUAGCGGUGAAAUGCGCAGAUAUCAGGAGGAACACCGGUGGCGAAGGCGGGUCUCUGGGCCGAUACUGACGCUGGAGGAGCGAAAGCGUGGGGAGCGAAACAGG
rnacentral:rRNA from 1 species